CGGGCGGGAGGGGCGAGAGGGUGAGGUGGAGCGGCCGCCGCCGCCGACGGAGGUCCCUCCCUCUGUGCCCUGCGAGGUGCCCUGGCGUCCCGAGACCGGCUAACAGGAAAUAAAUUAGCUUAGAAAACAAACGGACUACAGUUCAGAACUCUCAAGAAUAAAACAAGGUAAGGUUGAGGAGAGCAGGCUAGGGAACACAGGCCAGCUUCCUAUUUGGCACCUGUCUCCUGCUGGGGCAUUCCUUUCCUCAGUAUUCAUAAUCCAGACCUUUCCCGCUUCUCUGCAGUCAUGAUGCCACCUAUCCAAGAUCCAGGUGUCCUGCUGUGGAAAGCCAGGCCUGCUUAGGCAACUCCUCUCACCAUUAUUUCAAUACCUGCUACCUCAGCAGGAGCAGCAAUAGCUUCCCCACAAUUUAAGAUGGAUUAAAGUCCAAUACCACUUCUUCUGAAACAGCUUCUGCUGUUUCCUUUCUGUGACUUCUCAUAGUUCCAUUAAUAUCUGAAGGUUUUUGCUAAGCACUUAAAACUAAAUAUCCUAAAUAACUAUUUAUAGAUUCAUUCACUCAUUUUUGCAGGGCUAAUGAUCAAAUAUAAGACUUUGAGCAUGCUAUGUAAGCACUGUAUCACCAACUUACAUCACCAGCCUACUCUCAGUAGAUUUUAUUCAUGGGCAUGGAUAUAGCAAAGACAGUGGACCCUUGACUUAUGAACUCAAUUUGUUCUGCAGGGCUGGUUGUAGUCAAGAUGUCAGUUGGAGGCUCAGGCUCUAUUGGGAGCCGCGGCCGAGCCCGGUCGCCUUACUUGGCGGACGUGAGGCCUGUAGGAAAGAGCAAAGCCUGAGCUAGAUUACCCCUCCCAUCGAGUGUGCUAAGAUGGCGCUUAUCUCCUGCUUGGUAAACAACCCGCCCUGUAAGAUCUCCUGCUUCCUGCUUGGUAAACAACCCGCCCUGUAAGAUCUCCUGCUUCCUGCUUGGUAAACAACCCGCCCUGUAAGAUCUCCUGCUUCACAACCCGCCCUGUAAGAUAGUCUGCCUAGCAACAACUGAUGUUAGCCAAUCAGCCCGCAUCGCGCGCUUUGAACUGAUUGGCCACUGUAACCCUAUAAAAGUGAGUGCCUCUCCCGCCACGAAAGAAGAAGCAAAAGAAGCAGAAGAAGCACGCAAGGAGCCGCGGAGAGCGGACCUGUAGAGGCUUCGGGACAGACUGUAAAGAAGAAGCACGCAAGGAGCCGCGGGGAGCGGACCAACAGAGGCUUCGGCCGGGAGGAUUCCCGGGGCAGGCUGUACGGAGAAGGAAAAUAAAAGAAAAGGUUGUCCACUGCCA